ncrna:unclassified sequences DTF3800-VIII RNA
AAUCCCCUGCUUUUCCGAAGCCCUGCGUUCCACGCGGGGUACGUUGUAGUCAAAGUGGGGGAUU